rnacentral:rRNA from 1 species
GACGAACGCUGGCGGCGUGCUUAACACAUGCAAGUCGAACGGAAAGGCCCUGCUUUUGUGGGGUGCUCGAGUGGCGAACGGGUGAGUAACACGUGAGUAACCUGCCCUUGACUUUGGGAUAACUUCAGGAAACUGGGGCUAAUACCGGAUAGGAGCUCCUGCUGCAUGGUGGGGGUUGGAAAGUUUCGGCGGUUGGGGAUGGACUCGCGGCUUAUCAGCUUGUUGGUGGGGUAGUGGCUUACCAAGGCUUUGACGGGUAGCCGGCCUGGGAGGGUGACCGGGGUCUUGGGUCCUAAGGGAGGCCCCAGUCGGCAACGGGAGGCAAGGGGGGAAAGUAUGACAGAGGGGCGGGGAGCGAGUGACGACGGGCCCGGGAGCGUGAGGACGGCUUAUGGGUGAAAAACCACUGUGUCAGGAAACAAGGAGGGAGUGACGGUAAUGGAUAAGAAAGCCCCGGCUAACUACGUG